rnacentral:rRNA from 1 species
UGCCCCAUAGUCUGGGAUACCACUUGGAAACAGGUGCUAAUACCGGAUAAGAAAGCGGAUCGCAUGAUCAGCUUUUAAAAGGCGGCGUAAGCUGUCGCUAUGGGAUGGCCCCGCGGUGCAUUAGCUAGUUGGUAAGGUAAAGGCUUACCAAGGCGAUGAUGCAUAGCCGAGUUGAGAGACUGAUCGGCCACAUUGGGACUGAGACACGGCCCAAACUCCUACGGGAGGCAGCAGCG